AUUGAACGCUGGCGGCAGGCCUAACACAUGCAAGUCGAGCGGAGCGGCAGACGGGUGAGUAAUGCCUAGGAAUCGGCCUGGGAGUGGGGGAUAACGUCCGGAAACGGGCGCUAAUACCGCUUACUAUCAGAUUAGCCUAGGUCGGAUUGGCUGUGUGGUGAGGUAAAGGCCUACCAAGGCGACGAUCCGUAACUGGUCUGAGAGGAUGAUCAGUCACACUGGAACUGGGACACGGUCCAGACUCCUACGGGAGGCAGCAGUGGGGAAUAUUGGACAAUGGGCGCAAGCCUGAUGCAGCCAUGCCGCGUGUGUGAAGAAGGCCUUCGGAUUGUAAAGCACUUUAAGUUGGGAGGCGUUACCGACAGAAGAAGCACCGGCUAACUCCGUGCCAGCCGCCGCGGUAAUUC
rnacentral:rRNA from 1 species